GUUAGAGCUAUAAAAGCUAAAAUGCACCGCUACGAAACAUGAAUUCAAGAUAAAAGACUGAGUCGAGAAGGAAAGAAUUCCAAGGAAUGAGCAAACACUUAGCGGGAAAUUGGCCUUCAGAUGGGUGGGCAACUGAGGCAAAAAGAGGAGUAAUGGAUUCACUCGGCAGUGACUUCAGAAUUGAAACCAGGGCUUACUCUGUCAACAGGGAUGCAGUUCAAAACCAAGAAUGUAAAUGGCAAUGUCCAUUUUCAUAUGCUACAUUAUGUUCCAGUCCGUGGAGCAACCAAGA
rnacentral:lncRNA from 1 species